AUUGGUCCUCGGUGGUGGCUUACGGAUUUUUACAAGAACGCCGUGGGCUUCGAUCGAAGAUCCAU
ncrna:unclassified sequences Actino-pnp RNA